rnacentral:tRNA from 1 species
GCGGGCGUAAUUCAGUGGUAGAAUGUCAGCUUCCCAAGCUGAAUGUCGUGAGUUCGAAUCUCACCGCCCGCU